rnacentral:rRNA from 1 species
UACGUAGGGGGCGAGCGUUGUCCGGAGUUACUGGGCGUAAAGCGCACGCAGGCGGUCGUGUCAGUUUGGGGUUACAGCUCCCGGCUCAACCGGGAGAGCGCCUCGAAGACGGCAGGACUUGAGGGCCAAAGAGGGACACAGAAUUCCGGGUGUAGUGGUGAAAUGCGUAGAUAUCCGGAGGAAUACCAAAGGCGAAGGCAGUGUCCUGGUUGGUACCUGACGCUCAGGUGCGAAAGCUAGGGGAGCGAACGGGAUUAGAUACCCCGGUAGUCCUAGCCGUAAACGAUGACCACUAGGUGUGCGGGGUAUCGACCCCCUGCGUGCCGGAGCUAACGCACUAAGUGGUCCGCCUGGGGAGUACGGUCGCAAGAUUAAA